rnacentral:rRNA from 1 species
AGCGAACGCUGGCGGCAUGCUUAACACAUGCAAGUCGCACGGUCGGGUUUCGGCCCGGCAGUGGCGGACGGGUGAGUAACGCGUAGGUAUCUAUCCUUGGAUGGGGGACAACCGUGGGAAACUACGGCUAAUACCGCAUGACGACCGAGGUCCAAAGGCCGCGAGGCCGUCUGGGGAGGAGCCUGCGUCCGAUUAGCUAGUUGGUGGGGUAACGGCCUACCAAGGCGGUGAUCGGUAGCUGGUCNGA